rnacentral:lncRNA from 12 species
GAGCAGGAACAAUCGCUGGCCAGCAUCCUUGGGGAAAACGCUGACAAGAUGCAGCUUACCAGGAAGAUACUGGAUUUGAAGCAGGUGGGUGAUUCUAGACAACAGACACUGAAAUUGCUGCUAAAUUCUCAGCAGGCCUCAAUUAUCACUACUGGAAAACAGUUGGAUUUUUUUGAGAGAAUAUCGUCCAGUGAGCAAGUGCUUCUGAUUUAAAAUGCAGUCUGAGAGGCCGAGAUCUUCCGGUUACGCACAUACAGACCGUCAUUCAUUGUACUUACUCACAGAUGUCACUGAUUCACUAGCAUCCUUAAAGCCAAUUGAAACAGCCAGUUGUACUUCCAGGGUUGGGGAAAUUAGCCAAAAAUGCGGUCCAAGCACCUGGUUAAAAUGUGUUUUGGUUAAAUGUAAGAUCAUUCGAGCUCAGGAAAUCUUGUAUGUCUGACUUUCAUCUUUCAGGAUGAGCAGCUAUAUCAUAAUCUUCAUGAGGAGAUCAAUCAUAUGGCCCUCAGACUGGAAAAACAGGGGAAGACUGAAGGAAAGACCAUCUCAACCCGCAGGAAACACAUCAACAAAAUGUGGCUGAAGGCUCAGUCGCACUUGAAGGAAUAUCACGAGAAUCUUCAGCUCGCCCUCGAAGUCUCGUCCUUCUACCAGCAGGCCGAUAACAUUGUCUGUUCCAUCAGCAACAUGAAAAAAACCCUCUCAGCGAGCAACGGAGUGGAAAACGCCAGAGACGGGGAAAUUCGGGACAUUGCCAGUCAAAUCAUGGUGCGCGAUCCAAAAUUCACAUCCCAUUAUAGUCACACGAGGAGCAGCGAGCCGUGCUGUGAACACAGUGACCCUAAAGCUGUGUCAAACACCAGCCUGACGCCCGUGUUUGUUUUCCUGUUGUUCUGUGUGGUUUCAGAUGCUGGAUGUGAGCGUUUCCCAGCUCUCCAACCUGCACCCGGCGCUGGCGGCCCGCGUCACACAGAAGCAGAGCGAGGUGAAAGACUGCUGGGCCAUUCUCCAGAAGACUCUCAGGAAUGAAAAGGCAGCUCCGCUCCCCUCCGACCCCUCGUUAACCAGGGACAGCAGUGACCCUGUAACCCCGAGCCAAGAGCCACCCGGCAGCGUGGGAACAGACCCACACAGGAUUAUGGGAAAGGAGGUUAAAGAGGAACAAAAUCGUCUGAAGGGGUUUACGGUAUGCAGCUUUCAUUAUUUAAUUAUUUUGUAUAUUCUCGUUCUCUCUCUCAUACCACUUGUUUUUCUUUUGGUCGUCCUUUUUGGUUUUCAUGCUGAACGGAAAUGUUUAAAUGUCACCAGAGGCCUUUUCUCAUGUUUCCCAAAGUAUUCAAUUCAGAGAAUUGAUGCAUCAAGCUGAUGUCAUGCAAAUGUAUUGAUAUCACUAGGAUGUAAAAAAGGUGUCUGCUUCGUUGUUUUACGGCAGUUGUUUACUUUACACAGUUUAAGCCAAAAAAAAAGCUACACACUUAAAUAUUCUGUGCAAAUUAAUAAAUAGUAAAAUUGCAUUUUACAUGUGGAAGUCAAAGCCAUUGUCGCUGCUUGUGUUUUUAGCAGUGGUAUUUUAAUAUUAAUUAUACACUGUUAUAGUAUUUAUUAAUAUUUUGAACUAGCUUUUAUUUUUAAAUUUUCAGUUUAUAAUUUUAUAUUUUAUAUUAUAUAUUAACAUUUUAAUUUAUUUUAGGUUUUAAUUUUAUGGUUUUGCCAUUUUUAUUGAUUUUAGUUUUUUUUAUAUUUUAUAUUAUAUAUUUUAUGUACUUUAAACGAAUAAAUAAAUAUUUUAAAUAAUUUAUUUAUAAUUGUACAUUUUAUUACUGUAUUUUUUUAAUAUAUAAUAAUGUUUUUCA